GUCGAACGCUGGCGGCGUGCUUAACACAUGCAAGUCGAACGGAAAGGCCCUGCUUUUGUGGGGUGCUCGAGUGGCGAACGGGUGAGUAACACGUGAGUAACCUGCCCUUGACUUUGUGAUAACUUCAGGAAACUGGGGCUAAUACCGGAUAGGAGCUCCUGCUGCAUGUUGGGGGUUGGAAAGUUUCGGCGGUUGUGGAUGGACUCGCGGCUUAUCAGCUUGUUGGUGGGGUAGUGGCUUACCAAGGCUUUGACGGGUAGCCGGCCUGAGAGGGUGACCGGCCACAUUGGGACUGAGAUACGGCCCAGACUCCUACGGGAGGCAGCAGUGGGGAAUAUUGCACAAUGGGCGGAAGCCUGAUGCAGCAACGCCGCGUGCGGGAUGACGGCCUUCGGGUUGUAAACCGCUUUCGCCUGUGACGAAGCGUGAGUGACGGUAAUGGGUAAAGAAGCACCGGCUAACUACGUG
rnacentral:rRNA from 1 species